rnacentral:rRNA from 1 species
GACGAACCGUGCGAACGUUGUUCGGAAUCACUGGGCUUAAAGGGCGCGUAGGCGGGCGGUCAAGUCAGAGGUGAAAUCCCACGGCUCAACCGUGGAAGUGCCCCUGAUACUGGCCGUCUCGAGGGAGGUAGGGGCGUGCGGAACUUCCGGUGGAGCGGUGAAAUGCGUAGAUAUCGGAAGGAACACCGGUGGCGAAAGCGGCGCGCUGGACCUCUUCUGACGCUGAGGCGCGAAAGCCAGGGGAGCAAACGGG